AGUGAACGCUGGCGGUAGGCCUAACACAUGCAAGUCGAACGGCAGCACAGGAGAGCUUGCUCUCUGGGUGGCGAGUGGCGGACGGGUGAGGAAUACAUCGGAAUCUACUCUGUCGUGGGGGAUAACGUAGGGAAACUUACGCUAAUACCGCAUACGACCUACGGGUGAAAGCAGGGGACCUUCGGGCCUUGCGCGAUUGAAUGAGCCGAUGUCGGAUUAGCUAGUUGGCGGGGUAAAGGCCCGCCAAGGCGACGAUCCGUAGCUGGUCUGAGAGGAUGAUCAGCCACACUGGAACUGAGACACGGUCCAGACUCCUACGGGAGUCAGCAGUGGGGAAUAUUGGACAAUGGGCGCAAGCCUGAUCCAGCCAUACCGCGUGGGUGAAGAAGGCCUUCGGGUUGUAAAGCCCUUUUGUUGGGAAAGAAAUCCAGCUGGCUAAUACCCGGUUGGGAUGACGGUACCCAAAGAAUAAGCACCGGCUAACUUCGUGCCAGCCGCCGCGGUAA
rnacentral:rRNA from 1 species